rnacentral:rRNA from 1 species
GGAUACCCCCGGUAGUCCUGGCCCGUAAACGAUGGGGUACUAGGUGUAGGAGGUAUCGACCCCUUCUGUGCCGGAGUUAACGCAAUAAGUACCCCGCCUGGGGAGUACGACCGCAAGGUUGAAACUCAAAGGAAUUGACGGGGGCCCGCACAAGCGGUGGAGUAUGUGGUUUAAUUCGACGCAACGCGAAGAACCUUACCAGGUCUCGACAUUGAUGGACAGAACUAGAGAUAGUUCCUCUUCUUCGGAAGCCAGAAAACAGGUGGUGCACGGUUGUCGUCAGCUCGUGUCGUGAGAUGUUGGGUUAAGUCCCGCAACGAGCGCAACCCCUAUCUUAUGUUGCCAGCACUUUGGGUGGGAACUCAUGAGAGACUGCCGCAGACAAUGCGGAGGAAGGCGGGGAUGACGUCAAAUCAUCAUGCCCCUUAUGACCUGGGCUACACACGUACUACAAUGGGAGUUAAUAGACGGAAGCAAUACCGCGAGGUGGAGCAAACCCGAGAAACACUCUCUCAGUUCGGAUCGUAGGCUGCAACUCGCCUACGUGAAGUCGGAAUCGCUAGUAAUCGCAGGUCAGCAUACUGCGGUGAAUACGUUCCCGGGCCUUGUACACACCGCCCGUCAGCACUCACCGCCCGUCUGCACUCACCGCCCGU